GCAUGGCCGAAUUCUGUUCCAGCUGAUCUAUGGUGGAUACAGUCAGACACCAUGCAAAAGCAUUGUCUCAUUUCUGCCUAAUGACUGGAUGAGUGCGUCCCUCAGCCUCAUUCAACUGUACAGGAAUGAGUACAAAG
ensembl:snoRNA